UACAGAGGGUGCGAGCGUUAAUCGGAUUUACUGGGCGUAAAGGGUGCGUAGGCGGUUGUAUAAGUGGAAUGUGAAAGCCCUGGGCUCAACCUAGGAAGUGCAUACCAUACUAUACGGCUGGAGUAUAUGAGAGGGUGGCGGAAUUUCCGGUGUAGCGGUGAAAUGCGUAGAGAUCGGAAGGAACGUCAAUGGCGAAGGCAGCCACCUGGCAUAAUACUGACGCUGAAGCACGAAAGCGUGGGGAGCGAACAGG
rnacentral:rRNA from 1 species